CUAAGAUUAUUCCGCAAUGGACGAAAGUCUGACGGAGCGACGCCGCGUGGAUGAAGAAGGCCGCAAGGUUGUAAAAUCCUUUUGCUGGGGAAGAAUAAGUCCAGGAGGGAAUGCCUGGAUGAUGACAUGAACCGGCGAAUAAGCCCCGGCCAACUACGUGCCAGCAGCCGCGGUAACACGUAGGGGGCAAGCGUUGUUCGUAAUUACUGGGCGUAAAGGGCAUGUAGGCGGUUUAGUAAGCUUGGCGUGAAGGACCACGGCUUAACUGUGGGGUUGCGUUGAGAACUGCUGAACUUGAGUUACGGAGAGGGAGCUAGAAUUCCUUGUGUAGGGGUGGAAUCUGUAGAGAUCAGGAAGAAUACCGAUGGCGAAGGCAAGCUUCUGGCCGAUAACUGACGCUGAGGUGCGAAAGUGUGGGGAUCAAACA
rnacentral:rRNA from 1 species